CCUACGGGUGGCAGCAGUGAGGAAUAUUGGUCAAUGGGCGCGAGCCUGAACCAGCCAAGUAGCGUGAAGGAUGACUGCCCUACGGGUUGUAAACUUCUUUUAUAAAGGAAUAAAGUGAGGCACGUGUGCCUUUUGUAUGUACUUUAUGAAUAAGGAUCGGCUAACCCCGUGCCGGCAGCCGCGGUAAUACGGAGGAGCCGAACGUUAUCCGGAUUUAUUGGGUUUAAAGGGAGCGUCGAUGGGUUGUGAAGUCCGUUGUGAAAGUUUGCGGCUCAAACGUAAAAUUGCAAUUGAUACUGGCAAGCUUGAGUACAGUUGAGGUAGGCGGAAUUCGUGGUGUAGCGGUGAAAUGCUUAGAUAUCACGAAGAACUCCGAUUGCGAAGGCAGCUUACUAGACUGCCACUGACAUUGAUGCUCGAAAGUGUGGGUAUCAAACAGGAUUAGAUACCCGGGUAGUC
rnacentral:rRNA from 1 species